rnacentral:rRNA from 1 species
UUAAGCAUAUCAAUAAGCGGAGGAAAAGAAACCAACAGGGAUUGCCCUAGUAACGGCGAGUGAAGCGGCAACAGCUCAAAUUUGAAAUCUGGCGUCUUCGGCGUCCGAGUUGUAAUUUGCAGAGGGCGCUUUGGCAUUGGCAGCGGUCCAAGUUCCUUGGAACAGGACGUCACAGAGGGUGAGAAUCCCGUACGUGGUCGCUAGCCUCUACCGUGUAAAGCCCCUUCGACGAGUCGAGUUGUUUGGGAAUGCAGCUCUAAAUGGGAGGUAAAUUUCUUCUAAAGCUAAAUACUGGCCAGAGACCGAUAGCGCACAAGUAGAGUGAUCGAAAGAUGAAAAGCACUUUGGAAAGAGAGUUAAAAAGCACGUGAAAUUGUUGAAAGGGAAGCGCUUGCAGCCAGACUUGCCUGUAGUUGCUCAUCCGGGUUUCUACCCGGUGCACUCUUCUACGGGCAGGCCAGCAUCAGUUUGGGCGGUUGGAUAAAGGUCUCUGUCAUGUACCUCCUUUCGGGGAGGCCUUAUAGGGGAGACGACAUGCAACCAGCCUGGACUGAGGUCCGCGCAUCUGCUAGGAUGCUGGCGUAAUGGCUGUAAGCGGCCCGUCUUGAAACACGGACCAAGGAGUCUAACAUCUAUGCGAGUGUUUGGGUGUCAAGCCCGAACGCGUAAUGAAAGUGAACGGAGGUGGGAACCUUUCGGGGUGCACCAUCGACCGAUCCUGAUGUCUUCGGAUGGAUUUGAGUAAGAGCAUAGCUGUUGGGACCCGAAAGAUGGUGAACUAUGCUUGAAUAGGGUGAAGCCAGAGGAAACUCUGGUGGAGGCUCGCAGCGGUUCUGACGUGCAAAUCGAUCGUCAAAUUUGGGCAUAGGGGCGAAAGAC